AUACAGAGGGUGCAAGCGUUAAUCGGAUUUACUGGGCGUAAAGCGCGCGUAGGUGGCUAAUUAAGUCAAAUGUGAAAUCCCCGAGCUUAACUUGGGAAUUGCAUUCGAUACUGGUUAGCUAGAGUAUGGGAGAGGAUGGUAGAAUUCCAGGUGUAGCGGUGAAAUGCGUAGAGAUCUGGAGGAAUACCGAUGGCGAAGGCAGCCAUCUGGCCUAAUACUGACACUGAGGUGCGAAAGCAUGGGGAGCAAACAGGAUUAGAUACCCUGGUAGUCCAUGCCGUAAACGAUGUCUACUAGCCGUUGGGGCCCUUGAGGCUUUAGUGGCGCAGCUAACGCGAUAAGUAGACCGCCUGGGGAGUACGGUCGCAAGACUAAAACUUAAAGGAAUUGACGGGG
rnacentral:rRNA from 1 species